AUUGAACGCUGGCGGCAUGCCUUACACAUGCAAGUCGAACGGCAGCACGGGUGCUUGCACCUGGUGGCGAGUGGCGAACGGGUGAGUAAUACAUCGGAACACGUCCUGUAGUGGGGGAUAGCCCGGCGAAAGCCGGAUUAAUACCGCAUACGAUCUACGGAUGAAAGCGGGGGACCUUCGGGCCUUGCGCGUGAGGGUUGGCCGAUGGCUGAUUAGCUAGUUGGGGGGGUAAAGGCCUACCAAGGCGACGAUCAGUAGCUGGUCUGAGAGGACGACAAGCCACACUGGGACUGAGACACGGCCCAGACUCCUACGGGAGGCAGCAGUGGGGAAUUUUGGACAAUGGGCGAAAGCCUGAUCCAGCAAUGCCGCGUGUGUGAAGAAGGCCUUCGGGUUGUAAAGCACUUUUGUCCGGAAAGAAAUCCUUGGCCCUAAUACGGUCGGGGGAUGACGGUACCGGAAGAAUAAGCACCGGCUAACUACGUG
rnacentral:rRNA from 1 species